CUUGCCGCCGCUAACAGGCUGAAGCAACUGUUUCAUCUCGUCACAACGGUCCAACAGGAAGCUGAAAUAAAUCAUUACUUUACUCUUCUAGAGGCACGAUUUAAAGUUUUGAAUUGUUAUAACUUUGUACGAGAAUUUUAAAAUACCAUAUUGGCAUAAUUGAAUAAAGUAACGUAACAUAGUAGAAAGAAACAAUUAUUAUACAAUCGGCGGUGAUUCGGUAAGUCUGGGACACCCUGUAUUACUCCCUACUGUAGAUUCUCCCUACAACUCUUCAAAACAACUUCAUGUUAUGAAGCGAAGCGUGGCACAGUAGAUAGCGCACAAGCCUACAAAGCCGAAGGUCCCGGGUUCGAUUCCCGAUGGAGCCGAAAAAUUCUGUACGCUCGCUCUCCUCUCGGAAGGCAAUGGCAAACCACCGAGAGUAUUCUUGCCUAGAGGACUUUUCUAAGCCGCCCUGUUAAGGGCAAUAGGACUGAUAUAUCGUCGGCCUAAUUAGAAAACCUUCCAACUCCAAUUCUUGACAAAAUUGAGAUGUUUAUAGUAAGAUUCAUAGUUCUUAAGAUUCUCACGAAGGUUUUCAGUUUUUUGGCUAUAAAAUUGUAAUUUUGUGAAUUAAGUUUUUUUAAUUAGGUCAACGAUAUGUAAUUGACGUUGUUUAUUAUUUAUUAUGAUUAUUGUAUUUAAUUGCCUUGUAAUAAAGCUGCGUUACGCAAAUUAGUCAAUUUUCACUCAUGUAACAAUGAAAGAGAUUAUUAAAAAA